rnacentral:ncRNA from 2 species
UACAAUCAUCAAGACGCCCUACAUGGGCCCCAACCGAGCGGGAACGCCGCGGUGGUAAAGCGAUGAGGGCAUUCAGGCCAAAACAGUUCCGUUAU